rnacentral:rRNA from 1 species
UACGUAGGGUCCGAGCGUUGUCCGGAAUUACUGGGCGUAAAGAGCUCGUAGGUGGUUUGUCGCGUUGUUCGUGAAAACUCACAGCUCAACUGUGGGCGUGCGGGCGAUACGGGCAGACUGGAGUACUGCAGGGGAGACUGGAAUUCCUGGUGUAGCGGUGGAAUGCGCAGAUAUCAGGAGGAAUACCGGUGGCGAAGGCGGGUCUCUGGGCAGUAACUGACGCUGAGGAGCGAAAGCGUGGGGAGCGAACAGG